CUAGCCGUAAACGAUGGGUACUAGGUGUAGGUGGUUUCGAUACCAUCUGUGCCGGAGUUAACGCAAUAAGUACCCCGCCUGGGGAGUACGUGCGCAAGCAUGAAACUCAAAGGAAUUGACGGGGGCCCGCACAAGCGGUGGAGCAUGUGGUUUAAUUCGAAGCAACGCGAAGAACCUUACCAGGUCUUGACAUCCCUUGACCACCUCAGAGAUGAGGUUUCUCUUCGGAGCAAGGAGACAGGUGG
rnacentral:rRNA from 1 species